AUGGGUGGUGUUGGAUGGAGGAGACUUGGCUCCAAGCUGCGGCAGAGAUGGGGCUGGGAGAGCCGCCUCCGCGCCCGGGGCUUCUCUUCCGCUCCUGCCGCUCCACCUCCACCCCACAUGGAGAGUGUUGGAUUCAUAGGGCUUGGAAACAUGGGCUCCCACAUGGCAAGGAACCUGGUGAGGGCUGGAUACAGAGUGUCAGUUCAUGAUAUCAAUGAGGAUGCCAUGAACAAGUUCUCGGACGAUGGAAUUCCCACGAAACGGUCGCCGCUUGAAGUGUCCGAGUCGAGCGAUGUCGUAAUCACCAUGCUACCUUCCUCUGCACAUGUCUUAGAUGUAUACAGUGGAGGGAACGGCUUGCUCGGUAAUGGGGGGCACCUUGGACCGUGGUUAUACAUAGAUUCAUCUACAGUUGAUCCUCAGACAUCAAGAACGAUAUCUACGGACAUGUCAAGAUGCAGUUUAAAGGAAAGGAAAGGUUACGCCGAAAAACCGAUGAUGCUGGAUGCUCCUGUCUCCGGAGGUGUUCCUGCCGCAGAAGCUGGGACACUGACUUUCAUGGUGGGUGGUUUAGAAGAAACAUACAUAGCAGCAAAGCCGUUACUUCUCGCAAUGGGCAAAAAGCUGAUCUACUGCGGCGGGGCUGGAAAUGGCUCGGCUGCAAAGAUUUGUAACAAUACGGCCAUGGCUAUCAGCAUGCUUGGAGUCUCUGAGGCCUUUGCUCUUGGUCAGAAUCUUGGGAUCAAAGCAAGCACUCUCACAGAUAUAUUCAAUUGCUCUAGCGCCCGAUGCUGGAGUAGUGACACAUAUAACCCAGUUCCUGGGGUAAUGGCGGGAGUGCCAUCGGCGAGGAAUUAUGAUGGUGGUUUCACCUCCAAACUAAUGGCUAAAGAUUUGGAUUUGGCCAUGGCCUCUGCAUCUGGAGUUGGCUUCAAAUGUCCCAUGGGUUCUGAAGCACUUGACAUUUACCGGAAGUUAUGUGACGAGGGCUGUGAAUUCAAGGACUUUUCAUGCGCGUUUCGCCACUUUUACACGGGGAAGGAUGAGAAGUGA
rnacentral:rRNA from 1 species